rnacentral:lncRNA from 1 species
GCCCCUCACCUGAGCUUGCUCACCUGUGGGCCCCUCACCUGAGCUUGCUCCACCUGUGGGCCCCUCACCUGAGCUUGCUCCACCUGUGGGCCCCGUUGGUCAUGGUGAAGCCUCCCGUCUCCAGCUGCUGUAUGUGCAUGGCCAGCAGGUGGGCUGAGGGCAGGGUGGGCUGGGCCCUGAGGCGCCGUCCUUCCAUCAGACACAGGCUGUCGCUCUUCAGGAAGACCUGGGACCCAGACGGGCAUGGGGUGAGCAGGGACAAGGGGGCAUCCCUGGUGCCCAGCAGGGCUGGCCAGUGCCAUUUGGUGCAUGGGGCACCACACCCCAAUUUGCCAUCCAAUUCAAAAUGUCCCUUGGCUCCCGGGCUGGGGGUCCAGGCUCUGCAGCGUGUGGGCACAGGAGGAACACUGACUCCCCAGAAAGACAUGCGCUUCCUGCUGCUGAGGUGCUGGUUCCAGAAGCGCGCUGAGGAACACCCACCCUAAUGAGACAGCGCCAGGCCCCCGGCUGCUGUCAGCCGACGACACACGGGAGCCGUCCCACUGGCGGAGCUGAGCCUGGGCUGGAUGCAGGCUGCCCCUGGCGCCUCGGCCCGUCAGCCAGAGGCUGUGUCCUGGCCGACCGUCUCUCUCUCGAGGGGCAGUCAGGAGGCGGUGGGCUUGGAUACCCGCACCCCCAGCGGGAGUCAGACCCAUAAGGCACAGUCGGCAGGGAGGGCUCCUGGAGCACCNNNNNGGGAGGGCUCCUGGAGCACCCCUGCCUCUGCCCGUCCCACCACCCGUCACCCGCCGCCCCUGGGGGGAUGCGAGCUCCCGGGAGCUCACGCACACCGAUACCUCCACAGCUUUCAGCUCCUCCAUCACCUCUGCUAUCUUCGCGGGCAGAAUUCUCCAGGCCUAGAGUAAAAGCGCGGGUGAAACCCCGGCCCCGCGGGGCCCCCCUGCCCGGCCGCGUGGGGGACCCACCGCGCACUGGCGCACGGCCGCGUGCUCCAGGCCGCCCAGAAUCUGCAUGGCCGUGGCGAAGUUCCUCCGCUCGUAGCAAGACUUCGCGAUCAGCAGAAACUUGGAGAGCAGGGUCACUUGCAGCUGAAACCAGAGAACGAGACACUCGCAUCCCGAGCUCUGAGGGGUGCAGGGCAGGGCCGGCCUCGGGGUGGGUGGAGCAGGCGGCCCACAGGGACGGGCAUAGAGGCAGGCCAGGUGCUCACUGUCCCCUGGACAAACCUCGGCUCAGGAGAGACGGGGGCAGCGGGGCAC